rnacentral:rRNA from 1 species
AAACAUGUCUUUAUGAUUUUAAUAUAAAGUCUAAUCUGCUCAAUGAUAAAUUAAAUAGCUGCAGUAUUCUGACUGUGCAAAGGUAGCAUAAUCAAUAGUUUUUUAAUUAAAAGCUGGUAUGAAUGAUUUGAUAAGGUAAAUAUUGUCUCAAUUUUAGUAAAGUUAGAAUUUUUUUUAUUGUUAAAAUACAAUAAAAAUUUUAAAAGACGAGAAGACCCUAUAGAAUUUUAUUGUAGGUAAUAAAAAAGAUUAAAAUUAAUUAAUAAUUUUUUAUUAUAAAUAAUUUGGUUGGGGUAAUUAUUAAAUUAAAAAAAUUUUAAUAAAUAAUAAACAUAAAUUAAUGAAUAUUUGAUUUUAUUUAAAAAUAUAAAAGGAUAAAUUACCUUAGGGAUAACAGCGUAAUUUUUUUGGAGAGAUCAUAUUGAUAAAAAAGAUUGCGACCUCGAUGUUGAAUUAAGAUAAAAUUUUAAUGUAGAAGUUAAAAAAUUUUGGUCUGUUCGACCAUUAAAAUCUUACGUGAU